rnacentral:rRNA from 1 species
GACAGAGGUCCCGAGCGUUAGGCGGAAUCACUGGGCUUAAAGCGUGUGUAGGCGGAUUUGUAAGUACCUUGUGAAAUCCCACGGCUUAACCGUGGAACUGCUUGGUAUACUGCGAGCCUUGAGCCACUUAGGGGCAACCGGAACAAACGGUGGAGCGGUGAAAUGCGUAGAUAUCGUUUGGAACGCCAAUGGUGAAAACAGGUUGCUGGGAGUGCGCUGACGCUGAGACACGAAAGCCAGGGGAGCGAACGGG